rnacentral:rRNA from 1 species
AUACGUAGGGUGCGAGCGUUGUCCGGAAUUACUGGGCGUAAAGAGCUCGUAGGUGGUUUGUCGCGUCGUCUGUGAAAUUCCGGGGCUUAACUCCGGGCGUGCAGGCGAUACGGGCAUAACUUGAGUACUGUAGGGGAGACUGGAAUUCCUGGUGUAGCGGUGAACUGCACAGAUAUAAGGAGGAACACCGGUGGCGAAGGCGGGUCGCUGGGCAGUAACUGACUCUGAGGAGAGAAAGCAUGGGUAGCGAACAGGAUUAGAUACCCUGGUAGUCCAUGCCGUAAACGGUGGGCGCUAGGUGUAGGGGUCUUCCACGACUUCUGUGCCGUAGCUAACGCAUUAAGCGCCCCGCCUGGGGAGUACGGCCGCAAGGCUAAAACUCAAAGGAAUUGACGGGG